UGACUGGGGCGGUCUCCUCCUAAAGAGUAACGGAGGAGCACGAAGGUUGGCUAAUCCUGGUCGGACAUCAGGAGGUUAGUGCAAUGGCAUAAGCCAGCUUGACUGCGAGCGUGACGGCGCGAGCAGGUGCGAAAGCAGGUCAUAGUGAUCCGGUGGUUCUGAAUGGAAGGGCCAUCGCUCAACGGAUAAAAGGUACUCCGGGGAUAACAGGCUGAUACCGCCCAAGAGUUCAUAUCGACGGCGGUGUUUGGCACCUCGAUGUCGGCUCAUCACAUCCUGGGGCUGAAGUAGGUCCCAAGGGUAUGGCUGUUCGCCAUUUAAAGUGGUACGCGAGCUGGGUUUAGAACGUCGUGAGACAGUUCGGUCCCUAUCUGCCGUGGGCGCUGGAGAACUGAGGGGGGCUGCUCCUAGUACGAGAGGACCGGAGUGGACGCAUCACUGGUGUUCGGGUUGUCAUGCCAAUGGCACUGCCCGGUAGCUAAAUGCGGAAGAGAUAAGUGCUGAAAGCAUCUAAGCACGAAACUUGCCCCGAGAUGAGUUCUCCCUGACCCUUUAAGGGUCCUGAAGGAACGUUGAAGACGACGACGUUGAUAGGCCGGGUGUGUAAGCGCAGCGAUGCGUUGAGCUAACCGGUACUAAUGAACCGUGAGG
rnacentral:rRNA from 1 species